GCCAGACUCCUACGGGAGGCAGCAGUGAGGAAUAUUGGUCAAUGGGCGGGAGCCUGAACCAGCCAAGCCGCGUGAAGGAAGAAGGCGCCAGGCGUCGUAAACUUCUUUUGUCGGGGAACAAAGGGCGCCACGUGUGGCGUUGUGAGUGUACCCGAAGAAAAAGCAUCGGCUAACUCCGUGCCAGCAGCCGCGGUAAUACGUAUGGUGCAAGCGUUAUCCGGAUUUACUGGGUGUAAAGGGAGCGCAGGCGGCACGGCAAGCCUGAUGUGAAAGCCCGCGGCCCAACCGCGGGACUGCAUUGGGAACUACCGGGCUGGAGUGCCGGAGAGGUAGGCGGAAUUCCUAGUGUAGCGGUGAAAUGCGUAGAUAUUAGGAGGAACACCAGUGGCGAAGGCGGCCUGCUGGACGGUGACUGACGCUGAGGCUCGAAAGCGUGGGGAGCAAACAGGAUUAGAUACCCGGGUAA
rnacentral:rRNA from 1 species